rnacentral:rRNA from 1 species
UACAGAGGUCUCAAGCGUUGUUCGGAUUCACUGGGCGUAAAGGGUGCGUAGGUGGUGAGGUAAGUCGGAUGUGAAAUCUCCGGGCUCAACCCGGAAAUGGCAUUGGAAACUACCUUGCUGGAGGAUUUGAGGGGGGAUUGGAAUACUUGGUGUAGCAGUGAAAUGCGUAGAUAUCAAGUGGAACACCAGUGGCGAAGGCGGGUCUCUGGACAGUUCCUGACACUGAGGCACGAAGGCCAGGGGAGCAAACGGG